rnacentral:rRNA from 1 species
UACGUAGGUGGCAAGCGUUUGUCCGGAAUUAUUGGGCGUAAAGCGCGCGCAGGUGGUCCUUUAAGUCUGAUGUGAAAGCCCACGGCUCAACCGUGGAGGGUCAUUGGAAACUGGGGGACUUGAGUGCAGAAGAGGAUAGUGGAAUUCCAAGUGUAGCGGUGAAAUGCGUAGAGAUUUGGAGGAACACCAGUGGCGAAGGCGACUAUCUGGUCUGUAACUGACACUGAGGCGCGAAAAGCGUGGGGAGCAAACAGG